rnacentral:rRNA from 1 species
GAUGAACGCUGGCGGCGUGCCUAAUACAUGCAAGUCGAGCGAACGGACGAGAAGCUUGCUUCUCUGAUGUUAGCGGCGGACGGGUGAGUAACACGUGGAUAACCUACCUAUAAGACUGGGAUAACUUCGGGAAACCGGAGCUAAUACCGGAUAAUAUUUUGAACCGCAUGAUUCAAAAGUGAAAGACGGUCUUGCUGUCACUUAUAGAUGGAUCCGCGCUGCAUUAGCUAGUUGGUAAGGUAACGGCUUACCAAGGCAACGAUGCAUAGCCGACCUGAGAGGGGGAUCGGCCACACUGGAACUGAGACACGGUCCAGACGCCUACGGGAGGCAGCAGUAGGGAAUCUUCCGCAAUGGGCGAAAGCCUGACGGAGCAACGCCGCGUGAGUGAUGAAGGUCUUCGGAUCGUAAAACUCUGUUAUUAGGGAAGAACAUAUGUGUAAGUAACUGUGCACAUCUGGACGGUACCUAAUCAGAAAGCCACGGCUAACUACGU